rnacentral:rRNA from 1 species
UACGUAGGUGGCAAGCGUUGUCCGGAUUUACUGGGCGUAAAGAGCGCGCAGGCGGUCGUUCAAGUCGAGUGUGAAAGCCCCCGGCUCAACUGGGGAGGGUCACGCGAUACUGAUCGACUCGAAGGCAGGAGAGGGUAGUGGAAUUCCCGGUGUAGUGGUGAAAUGCGUAGAUAUCGGGAGGAACACCAGUGGCGAAGGCGGCUCACUGGCCCGGUACUGACGCUGAGGUGCGAAAGCGUGGGGAGCAAACAGG